UACGAGAGGUACAAACGUUAUUCGGAAUCAUUGGGCGUAAAGGGCGCGUAGACGGCAUGUUAAGUCUGUUGUUAAAUCCUCCGGCUUAACCGGAGAUCUGCAACGGAAACUGGCGUGCUAGAGUGUGGGAGAGAGAAGUGGAAUUCUUGGAGUAGCGGUAAAAUGCGUAGAUCUCAAGAGGAACACCGAUGGCGAAGGCAGCUUCUUGGUCCACUACUGACGUUGAGGCGCGAAAGCGUGGGGAGCAAACAGG
rnacentral:rRNA from 1 species